rnacentral:tRNA from 1 species
UUAGUUAUAGCUAAUACAAGCAAAAUCACUGUUAAUGAUUAGAUAAAAAUUUUUUUAACUAAG